rnacentral:misc_RNA from 1 species
AAGUGCUUCAAGUGAUGAUGAUGAAGACAUGGCUAUGAUAGUCAAAAGAUUCAAAAGAGCAUUUAGAAAAGGUCGAAGCAAAUACAAGAAGUUCACAAAGAAAUAUGCUCCAAAGACUCCAAAUCAUUCAAGUGAAAUAGUUUGUUAUGAGUGUAACAAACCAGGCCACAUUAAGCCAAAAUGUCCUACAUUGAAGAAGAAAAAUAAGUUUAGAAAGGACAAAAGCAAAAAGGCAAUGGCAGCAACUUGGAGUGACAGUGAUUCUUCAUCAAAUGAUGAAACAAGUGACAAAGAGGCUGCAAACACUUGUAUGAUGGCAAUUGAAGAAAAAGGUGAAAGCUCACACAUCGAAGAUAGUGAAAAUGAGGUAAAUCUUGAACUUUCUAAUGUUGAUGAAUUAGAACUUGCAUUUGUGAAGACAUAUGAUAAGUAUAGAACUUUUAAAAAGAAAUGCAAAAUUUUAGUUCAUGAAAAUUGUGCUUUAAGAUCAGAAAAUAUUUCAUUGAGUAUGGUUUCAAAGGAAAAUGAAUUUUAUAAAU